GACGAACCGUGCGAACGGUUGUUCGGAAUCACUGGGCUUAAAGGGCGCGUAGGCGGGCCGCCAAGUCCGCGGUGAAAUCCCCCGGCUCAACCGGGGAACUGCCGGCGGAUACUGGAGGUCUCGAGGGGGGUAGGGGCAUGCGGAACUACGGGUGGAGCGGUGAAAUGCGUUGAUAUCCGUAGGAACUCCGGUGGCGAAGGCGGCGUGCUGGGACCCCUUCUGACGCUGAGGCGCGAAAGCCAGGGGAGCGGAACGGG
rnacentral:rRNA from 1 species